UUUAUGGAGAGUUUGAUCCUGGCUCAGGAUGAACGCUGGCGGCGUGCCUAAUACAUGCAAGUCGAGCGAACAGAUGAGAAGUUUGCUUCUCUGAUGUUAGCGGCGGACGGGUGAGUAACACGUGGAUAACCUACCUAUAAGACUGGGAUAACUUCGGGAAACCGGAGCUAAUACCGGAUA
rnacentral:rRNA from 1 species